UGAGGAAUAUUGGUCAAUGGAGGCAACUCUGAACCAGCCAUGCCGCGUGCAGGAUGACGGUCCUAUGGAUUGUAAACUGCUUUUGUACGGGAAGAAAUGUAUCUACGUGUAGAUAUUUGACGGUACCGUAAGAAUAAGGAUCGGCUAACUCCGUGCCAGCAGCCGCGGUAAUACGGAGGAUCCAAGCGUUAUCCGGAAUCAUUGGGUUUAAAGGGUUCGUAGGCGGUUUAAUAAGUCAGUGGUGAAAUCUUGCAGCUUAACUGUAAAAUGGCCAUUGAUACUGUUAGACUUGAAUUGUAUGGAAGUAACUAGAAUAUGUAGUGUAGCGGUGAAAUGCUUAGAUAUUACAUAGAAUACCAAUUGCGAAGGCAGGUUACUACAUACAUAUUGACGCUGAUGA
rnacentral:rRNA from 1 species